CCUGCCCCUAGAGGCUCUGCAGAUGUGGUGCUGUGUCACAUGUGCAUCGGGAGGAGGCAGAAAGGAGAGAGGCUGUGCCUGUGCUCAGUGUUCUGACCUGUGAACAUCUGAAUGAUGAGUAUUCCCUGAAA